GCUGCUGCUCGGGACCGGGCGGGCGGGACGGUGCUACGCCAAAGGCCGGAGGCCUGAGGUCCUUUUGGGAAAUGCAAGGAGACCGGUGUGGCCAAUAUAACCGAAGGCAAGGCUGAGUUUUCCAGGCGUUCUCGUCCGCGCACAGUGACUUGGUGGGACGGGCAGGGCCUGGCUGCGGGCUGCGCGCGGGCAUUUUAAAGUUAUAUUAGGGAUCUUUCUUGGUGUCAGAGUCGCCCAAAGGAAAUGGUUCUGGGGACGAUACCUCCACCUUCCAACUGAUCCGUUAUAGUUUUGCUACAAUGCUUGUCAGGCUGCAAGACCCGUGAGCUGGGGUGCUUGUCCCUAAACCACCCCAGGGAGCGGAAUCAGAAUACCUGAAGAUGAAGGAGGUGCAAAUAGUGGUUAAGACCGGCUCUGGAGUGAGAUGGGUAGUCGCGUCCUGACUCCACCUCCUGGCCUUCUGACCUGCUUGAGCCAGUGACACUGAUUCUGUUGAGGGAAGCAGUAUGCCCAGCUCCAGGAGGUGAAUCGGAUUGCUUUAAGUCAAUCAGAGGAAUCUCAACUUGAAUUUCCAGAGUUCCUUCCAGCCAGAGUGGCCAUGUUGCCCAGUUCUGGUUAGAGAGGAGAAACCUGCUGGUAAGGUUUCUGGGAAUAAUUUUGUUUGCUGCUGAAAGAGCCCAGCAUGCAGAGGGAGGUGCUCUUUCAGCCAUUCCCUAUCUUUUAUUCUUAGGAAGCUGGGCUGAGAAUGUAAUUCCUAGCACUGAGGCAGCUGUCUUGCACCUAUGAAGUAGCAAGCUUGAGGACAAGAAAGCACGCUGAGAGAGGCAGAGCGGAGAAAACAAAGCUCAGUUUCUGGAUGAAAUUGUUGAGCCACUGCAUGAAGUCUGAAACAUUAUCUGCAGGCUUAUUGCUAUGAAGCAUAUUGCUCUGCUCAAUCUACCAUCUAGUUUCUGUUCAGUGCAUCCUGGAUGAUAAGUUCAACAAGUAGAACUGGAACCCAGCAACCUGGGGCAUCAAAGCGGAGGACAGAUGAUAUGAAGAGACAACUGAAAUCAUUUCAGAUAUCUGAAAGGCAUGUCAUGUUUAACAAAAAUAAAAACAAUUUGAAUAUGG